ACUUUGCAUGAUGGCUCUCUCAUGUCCAAGAUUCUGCCCACCUAUCUAGGAUUACAAUGAUUACCUUCUUCCUGUCUUAGAUGGAUUCUCUAAGCUUGACACCAUUGAGACUUCGACAUAAAAUGAGAUCACUCUGGACCCAAUGACCAUUCAUUACAGAGGUAUACAUCAUGAAAGGAAUAACCGAAAUGACACUGAUCUAGUGCUCCAGGAUUAAACCUUAUUCUGAAUCUUACCCAAGACCAAGCCCUGAUCUAGGAGGCUAGAUUCUGACUCCCACUCUACAGUUCUUGACUAAAGUCCUACUUUAUAAGCACAGACCACCAGGAACCAGGAUGCUUCCAACAAUCGGAUCAGAGUAUCGCCAGAACUCUAGAGUUCUACUGCAACCUCCCAUUCACCAGACUUGAUUCCCUUUGAUGCUGAUUUUGGCUUGAUUUUCCUGGACUCUGAGAAUUCUCUGUAUUCUCUAUGAGUUCCAUUGCAGCUGUAAAAUGGAGUUAGUUCUCUCAAUCCCUCCAAAUUCUAGGCCUUUCCCCUCACUAGUAGG
rnacentral:lncRNA from 1 species